UGGGGAAUAUUGCACAAUGGGGGAAACCCUGAUGCAGCAACGCCGCGUGAGUGAUGACGGUCUUCGGAUUGUAAAGCUCUGUCUUCAGGGACGAUAAUGACGGUACCUGAGGAGGAAGCCACGGCUAACUACGUGCCAGCAGCCGCGGUAAUACGUAAGUGGCAAGCGUUGUCCGGAUUUACUGGGCGUAAAGGGAGCGUAGGUGGAUAUUUAAGUGGUAUGUGAAAUACUCGGGCUUAACCUGGGUGCUGCAUUCCAAACUGGAUAUCUAGAGUGCAGGAGAGGAAAGUAGAAUUCCUAGUGUAGCGGUGAAAUGCGUAGAGAUUAGGAAGAAUACCAGUGGCGAAGGCGACUUUCUGGACUGUAACUGACACUGAGGCUCGAAAGCGUGGGGAGCAAACA
rnacentral:rRNA from 1 species